GCAGAACGCGAAGAACCUUACCAGGGCUUGAAUGCAGUGCGACAGGGGCGGAAACGCCCCCUUCUUCGGACGCAUUGCAAGGUGCUGCAUGGUUGUCGUCAGCUCGUGCCGUGAGGUGUCAGGUUAAGUCCUAUAACGAGCGCAACCCCUGCCGUUAGUUGCCAGCGAGUCAAGUCGGGAACUCUAACGGGACUGCCGGUGCAAACCGUGAGGAAGGUGGGGAUGACGUCAAAUCAUCACGGCCCUUACGUCCUGGGCCACACACGUGCUACAAUGGCAGGUACAAUGGGCAGCCACUGCGCAAGCAGGCGCGAAUCCACAAAACCUGUCUCAGUUCGGAUCGGGGUCUGCAACUCGACCCCGUGAAGCUGGAAUCGCUAGUAAUCGGAUAUCAGCCAUGAUCCGGUGAAUACGUUCCCGGGUCUUGUACACACCG
rnacentral:rRNA from 1 species